AGGGCUUCAAAUCCUUUGUUUUCUUAGGCUUGCACUAACUUUUGUUUGUGUGAGGCUGUGUUGAAGUGAAGCCCAAGAUAUUUGUUCUCCUCGCUAUCCAGUGCUUCCUUUAUGUUGCAUUAGGACGUCGGGGAACUACAUUC